UAACACAUGCAAGUCGAACGAAGUAGCAAUACUUAGUGGCGAACGGGUGAGUAUAAUGUGGGUAUCUGCCCUUUGGUUUGGAAUAACACGAGGAAACUUGUGCUAAUACCGGAUAAGCCUUCACAGGGAAAGCUUUAGCGCCAAAGGAUGAGCCUGCACUUGAUUAGCUAGUUGGUAAGGUAAUGGCUUACCAAGGCAACGAUCAAUAGCUGUUCUUAGAGGAAGACCAGCCACAUUGGGACUGAGACACGGCCCAAACUCCUACGGGAGGCAGCAGUGGGGAAUCUUGCACAAUGGGGGAAACCCUGAUGCAGCGAUGCCGCGUGAGUGAAGAAGGCCCUUGGGUUGUAAAGCUCUUUCGUCGGGGAAGAAAAUGACUGUACCCGAAUAAGAAGGUCCGGCUAACUUCGUGCCAGCAGCCGCGGUAAUACGAAGGGACCUAGCGUAGUUCGGAAUUACUGGGCUUAAAGAGCACGUAGGUGGUUAAGAAAGUUGGUGGUGAAAUCCCGAGGCUUAACCUUGGAACUGCCACCAAAACUUUUUAACUAGAGUAUGAUUGAGGUAAGCGGAAUUUCUAGUGUAGAGGUGAAAUUCGUAGAUAUUAGAAAGAACACCAAUUGCGAAGGCAGCUUUCUGGAUCAUUACUGACACUGAGGUGCGAAAGCAUGGGUAGCGAAGAGGAUUAGAUACCCUCGUAGUCCAUGCCGUAAACGAUGUGUGCUAGACGUUGGGAAUUUAUUUUUCAGUGUCGCAGCAAAAGC
rnacentral:rRNA from 1 species